AAGCAACACUCUGUGGCAGAUGAUCAAAACUGUCCUGCACAAUUUGAGCUUACUGUAUCAAGAAAAUCUACCCUAUUCCAGUGACUUCUAUAAGACAAGCCAGUUCCAGCUGGUGGCUAAACAGGUUGAGAUGCA
rnacentral:snoRNA from 1 species